GCGCCCUUAGCUCAGCUGGAUAGAGCACCGGACUUCUAAUCCGACGGUCGAGCGUUCGAAUCGCUCAGGGCGCACCA
rnacentral:tRNA from 1 species